CAUCCUAAUCCGAUCCUAAUCAAAUUCAAAACGGAUCUCUCUAUUCGGACUCUUGAUUCUGUCAAAUACGCACGGUGGUCUACCUUAGCUAGGCUUGCGGCCCAACAAGCGUCCACGGGCAUGCACGAGCAGCGACCACCUGGCUACGGACUUGGCAAGUACCACGGCGGGACCUGCCGAGCCAACUACGGAACCACAGUCAACGUGCGACAUUUUUUCUUUUUCUUUUUGUGGGAGUCAACGUGUGACGUUGGCUAGGCGUGUUCAAUGCGUCGAUCGACCGGCUAAGUGGAUAAGGCAGGGAUCAACAUUGGCGUU
rnacentral:lncRNA from 1 species